GAUAAAAUAUGAACUCGUGCGAAAAUGAGGGAAAAGGGGAAAAUGCGGAUAUAAAGAUAUCAAUGAUCUUUGGUCACUGGAUAAAAGGAACGAGAUGUUUGUCGAUUCUUGUCAGAAGCAUUAAUAGCAGACUCCACAUGGUAAUACCAGAUCUAGAGGAUUGUGGACAUUGAUUUCUCUGUGAAAAAGUCUAAGCCAAGAAAGAUGAAAAUAAUGUAUCGAGAAGUGCAUGCUUGGAACAAGAGUGGAAGACAAAGAAGAAAGGCAAGAGGAAAGCAAAAAAGGAAGAAGGGAACACCGACGACGCUGGAUAAAUAUAAUUCGUUAACCGAUGAUGUUAGGACAUCACCCCCGACUCUAGCAAGUCUCGAGUGUACCAACAUUAUUUCUGGCAUUGACUCCCAGCACGGUGUACGAUCUGACGACGAUACCGUCAUCUUCCGUGACUCACGAAACCCGAAAUACAACGUACAUUCGAGGUGAUCAUUUAAGCUCCCGCCAUCUCUUUAAAAUCGAACCAUAUUUAUCGUUUUACAUUUCUUCAUUAAACGAAUUUUUUAUACAAUUCUAUUUCAUCAUUAACGAAGAUCGUAUAUAUUAGAGAAUAACUACAAACGUAAACCGAUCGGGGAACAAAGGAUUUUACACGCAACAACGAUACAGAUAAUGAACUGAAAUAUUUGUUUCUUUAUUCAAUGAAACAGAACCGUUUUCUUUAUUAUGAAUAAUAUAUCUACACGAGCAAGCAGUUAGAUAUAAAAGAUAAAAUAAAAAUAAAAGUAGAAAAAAUAUUUAUGUAGUACUGAUACAAGUGAAUGGAAAU